rnacentral:rRNA from 1 species
UGCAAGUCGAACGGGAUCCAUCAAGCUUGCUUGGUGGUGAGAGUGGCGAACGGGUGAGUAAUGCGUGACCGACCUGCCCCAGACAGGGGAAUAACACACCGAAAGGUGUACUAAUACCGCAUAAGACCACGGGAUCACAUGGUUCUGGGGUAAAAGAAUUAUCGGUUUGGGGUGGGCUCGCGUCCGAUUAGGUAGUUGGUGAGGUAACGGCCCACCAAGCCGACGAUCGGUAGCCGACCUGAGAGGGUGAUCGGCCACAUUGGGACUGAGACACGGCCCAAACUCC